rnacentral:sRNA from 1 species
GUCAAAACCAUGAUCUGAUUCAAGUCUGGGAGCAUUUUCGCUCCAGAGCGUUGGGUGCAGGAUAAUGGCGUUAGGCGCUACUUUGACAGUGGUCUCUGACUUGGUUCUCGUUAGGCGAGCCUGUACUUGCAUAAUGAAACCAAAGUCAAUAAGAUCAUCGAUUUUGUGUCGUUGGGCAACCAGUUUCUAAAAAUUGAUCCAGAGGUGUUCCAAGGGUCCUAACAUUGGGUGCCAAUUUUGCUUGUUGGGUGUCAAGCCCGUGGAAGGCCAAUGUUGGGUGCACCUCUAAUAUCGUCAUACACCUUAUGUUUUUCAUCUUUUAUUAUGUAUUUUCUCUGAUUUUAUUAUAUCAAUUGUGAUCUUUAUGUUGUAUUUGGUUUAUAAAAUGAAACAAAG